AAGAUGCCGACUGAUGAUUUUGGGAGAGAUUUUGAUUACUUAGAAAAUCAAAAUCCAAACCGGAAGACCGAAGAACACAUCUCAGGUCAGCACACGUGGUAUGGAGAGAAGGAGGAUGCAAGUGCCCCAAACUUUGAUAUGGAGGUUCUCACAACCGUAUUCCUCGACUUACAAGUGGCCAAGAGGUUUCUGGGGAGUUAUCUGCUGCUUCACCUGAACGCCAUUCCGUGGCAUCUCCUGAUGUUGGUGCUGGGAAGCGCAUCCAUUCUCUACCUUCUGUAGCCGAUGCUAAUCAAUCGCGUACUUCGCUCUUGUUGUUCACAAACAUCCUUGUCUCUACAUGCUUGUAAACCCUAGGUAUGGCGCAUAUUGGUUAUGUGGUACUGGCAAUGCAGCUAACAAUAGGGUGACCCAUUGAGGGAAUUUGAUUCAUUUGGACUGAACAAUGUUGCCUGGAAGGAAGGGGUUGAUGGCUGGAAAAUGAGGCUAGAGAAGAAUGUACCUCCAAUGAGCACUGCCCAGGCUACUUCUGAAAGAGGAGGUGGUGAUGUCAAUGUCAGCACCGAUGCGCUUGUGGAUGACUCUUUACUGCAUUGACAGAGAAGGAGAACCAUCAAAGUUGCUGCUGUUGUUGGCACUGUCGACCCACUAAAGAACAUCCUCUAGUGACAGCAAAUACAGCAUUCUUCGUUCUUGCAGUUGACUACCCAGUUGACAAGGUCUCAUGCUAUGUAUCCAACGAUGGAGCUGCUAUAUUAACUUUCAAGGUCCCUUCUGGAACAUCAGAGUUCGCAAGGAAAUGGGUUCCUUUUGUAAGAAGCAUAGCAUAAAGCCUUGAGCCUUGAGCCCCUGAAUGGUGCUUCGCUCCGAAAAUUGACUACUUGAAGGACAAAGGUCAUCCUUCAUUUGUCAGGGAUCACAAAGCUAUGAAGGCAUGAGUUUAGAUCAGAUUCUUGAUAGUGUUUUGCAAUCCCUUUGUACAUUGCAUCGCUGUGGCAUGUUUGCAUUUUCAUGUAUAGCAGAGAAAGUAUUAGAAUUUGAAGUCCUCAUAAGUGGACUUGUUGCCAAGGCACAGAAGGUUCCCGAAAAAGGAUGGAUAAUGGAAGAUGGGACUCCAUGGCCUGGAAAAAAUACGAGGGACUGCCCCAGAAUGAUUCAGGUCAAUUUAUAAUUUUUGGAAUGUAUCUGAUAUUGCGAUUGAGCUCAUAAAAUCGUACCCACCCCAGAUUGAUUCAGGUUAAUUUGUAGUUAAACUAUGAGGUAGCAACACAGCAAUCUCUCUCUC